GGAGAGACAGAUUAGGAGGACUCAGAACGACACCCGGUCACUGAGUCAUCUGCCAACACUUAUUCCUGAGGCUCUUCCUGCUGUGCUCAGGAUAGCAUGACUGGCCAACUCACUCCUUUGUCAGCCUGGCUCCUGUGGAUACUAGAGGUGUCAGUCACUGAAGUUGAACAGAAGGCCCUCCUGUCCGACAUGAGUAACGGCCCCACUCAGCGGAAGCCCGUGAGAUCUGGUCACAGCAGACCCAGAUAGAUGCCAAGACCAACUUCCUCUCUCCCUCUCUCUCCCACAGAACACACUCUAAUGGCGAAAGGCUGAAGGCAGGUGUGGGACUUUUACUUGUCUCUAUCUGUCCUUCCCAGGAGAACUAAUUCAGCAUGAUCUAGCCCAGGGCCUUUCAUUUGCAAGGAGAGAAAAAUAAACCUAAGCAGAUGAA